CAAAGGCCAGGCGCCUUCUCGCCAAGGAGGCGUGACCCAAGGUGCUAGAAGACCCAGCACCGCUGGGGUUGGUCCGUGCUUUGCACCUCAGAGUUCACUGCGAAAUCUCCGCGGUUCAGUCCUUCUCUUAACUGAUCAGCAGGUUAUCAGGCUGUAUAACGGGGAAUCAGAAUCGCCUCCAGACCGGACCCUGGAGAUCCGAGAGGAGCUGAUGUCCCCCACGCGCGAUCUCACAGUCACUCUGAGGCGCUUGCUUCUGGUUCACACAGGGUAACCACCCCUGUGAGCAGCGACACUGCGAUGCCCUGGGAGCCCACUUGCGCUCCGGGCGGACUAGUAUUCUGGCACUCGUGCGCUCUCUCUCUCUCCCUCCCUCUCUCUCUCUCUCUCUCUCUCUCACUCUCCCUUCCUCUCUCCUUUUCUCUCCUCUCCUCUCCUCUCCCCCCGCCCUCUUUGCUUUUUAUAGCUUUCCACAGUGGGCUUUUCCUCCGCCCCCAAUUCAAGAGUGACAAAGAGUGAAAACGUUUCUCUCACCCCCGCCCGCUCCCCGCCCUCUUUACACCCUGCUGCUGCAGCUCCUUUCGGGGCUUCCUCUACUUUUUUCUCCCGCUGCUCAACCUCCCAUUCCUCUUCCACAGUUGGGGGGCGGGGGGGAAUGAGAUUUACCCCUAGAAGAACAUGAGGCUCCCAAUUACUGACCACAGCUCCAAGGAGUAGAUGGGCCUUUGGAAACAGGCGGAGGGCAAAUGUGUUAAAGGAGAGGGGCAAGCUGUCCCCACGUGUCAUGACCGCCACUUUCCUUCCUUAAUAUACUCCCGCACAUCCUCAGUCUCUGACUAGGCGAGGAGCGCUAGAAAAGCAGUAUAGAGACUUUAAAGAAGCAAACUUAUGGACGUUAAUAUUGUGUUCUGUGUGCGCUCAAAUUUGAUUUUAACCUGUCCCUCCCAAAGAGUGCGUAGGGCUGGCGCCAUAUAGGUGCGCUAGCAGGUGCCGGAGGGAUCCAGAGGGAGAUUUGGGGAUGGGGAAGGAGAGAACCAGAAGGGGAAAGAUAACUCUCCUGCUCGAAAGGGUUUGGUCUUUUCAGUUUCCUCCUUAUCCAUGCCUAACCCCGCCACACUUAGUGUAUCUGUGUAUCUGAGGGACUGAGAUGUCAAGAGAUUGGACCUCGAAGCUUGAAAGGGCAUCUUCACAGUUCAUGGCAACUGCCUUCUUUGCAAAGAGGAAAUCCCAGGCAGGAAUGGACGCGGUGGGGACUCUGGGGUUCUGACUUCCUCUGUUUUCUAUCUCCUGCCCCCUGGGAAAUUCUAAGGGAAGUCUUUGCGGUCCAUCCUUAAGGCUCCCCAGUUGCAGUUCCCUUCUUCCAAGGUGGAAGGUAGUAAACGCAGGCGCCAGGCGCUUGGGGGCGCCAGUGGCAGCGGCGAGACCGGCGGGGGAACGCUUUGAGACUAGCUGUCCUGGAAACUGCUGGUGAGCUUUGAUUAGCAAUUGUCAAGGUUUCCAAAGUGAUGCAGGGGGUUGUUCAAAAGUUGUUGCAUUUCUCCUUCGCAGAAUGUCCUGGAGCAGAAAAAAUCGAGGGAUUGAGCCACCACUUGGUGUUAGUGAUGGCUAGCAGGGAGGACAGGAUUCUAACAACUUUCCCUUUAGAAUUUUCAGACCUAACUUUGACAACUGAUUCUGGCAAACACCAGCAUAUUUAGGAACACGAAUUUAACAAGUCACUCAGUGAAAAGAAAAGCCACAACUUCUCGGUGGGUGUUUCAAAAGCCUGGUUUCCUUCUGAAUAACCAACUCCAAAGUUCCUGUUAACUGUCUCCUGCCUAUCUUAUGGACAACAGGACCAGCUGAAGAGAAAAAUUCUCAUUGCUUAUAUUUGGGUCACCAAGUGUGCUUGACACAAACAUUAAAAAGUGAAAUGGUUCAUGGGAUUUCAUAGUAAAUUAAUCAGAAACAUAAUAAUUGCUCAGUAAAUUAUUUUUGAACCUUGAAAAAUUAGUCAUUUUCCCAUUACUUUACCUGAAACCCAAAUGAAAGAAACUUAUUGGAAAAGAUCUUUCAUCUAUAGCCUGAAUCGAAUUAACAAAAAUGUAAAAUAUAUAAACUGAAACAGACGUUGAUGAACUUUUCAUGAUUCUUGUGCAUGUAAGUGACUGCAUUCAACACCAAAACCUUCCUUUAAUGAGACAUGAUUUCUAUGGGUUCUAUGUAUUGUAUCUCUUUCUCUGUGAUCCAUUUAUUUUCCCUGUUGAGUUCUGGCAGGUUCACCUUUGGAAAUAAUACUCAAGUACCGAAUAACACUUGGACAUGAAAAGGAAGUAUGUUUAUUUCUUAAGUUUCAGUUACAAGAUGAGAUCUCCUGGAAUUUUUUAGAAUUCACACAAAAAUGCUGAAAGCCAUAGUCUUUAAUAAGACCUUAGAGGCAAGGGAUACAGCAACAUUAACUUUUUUUUAAAUGUUCUUUUUAAAUUUUAAGUUUUAAAUGCCUAUUUUUGUUACUGUUGUUAUUUGGGGAGGGGGAUCAUGUUGGUUGAUUAGUUGGUUUUAAUCAAUGAUUAACUGCUCAGAUUUGGAAACCACAGUGAGUUGAGUAUGAUACUCUAAACCCUCAACCUGCCAACAACAGGAUGGAUUGAUUGAUUUUUACCCUGUUGUUGUUAUUACAAAUAUUUUCAAAACAAACAUUACUCAAAAGGGGAAACUAUUCAAAAUUUGGCAAUUUAAUUCAGUCAGAAAUGAUUGGGCUCAUUUGAAGUGAGGAAUAUCUAAAAAUAUUUAAAAAUAGGAAGACUUAGGGUAGCUAAUCCAAUCAUGGUACAAUGAUUGUUAUUGACCGGCUAUCUGAAUCCAUGACUAAUGAAUAUGGAAAAAACUAUACUCACACCACAAAUAAAAUAAAUUGUUGUACAGAUGGAAAAACUAUUUUAAAAAAAUAAGAAAAUAGAGUCUCAAAUGGUGACUGAAAAAUCUGUGUGAAAGCAUAACUGGGCUUGGUAACAGAAAAUAUAAAAUGUGUUUAAUUUAUCUUUGGAAGAUUAUUUAUAAUGGAUUUUACUUUUUGAUACUGUAGCAAUAGGAGUUAUAAUACCUAAACUCAAAACAGUGUGGGAUGUGAAAAAAUCAAGAUAUGAAACUUCAUUCAACCUAAGGAAUUUUAUAAGUAGCUGGUUUGUAAUACAUAGCAAUAAUAAAAAUAAUGGCAAUAACCAAA